GGAGAUGUGGCUCAAGCGGUAGCCGCGCACACCUGGCAUGUGUGGGGCCUGGGUUCGAUCCUCAGCACCA
rnacentral:tRNA from 1 species